rnacentral:rRNA from 1 species
AACGAACGCUGGCGGCGUACCUAACACAUGCAAGUCGUACGAGAAAUUCCGAUUCGUCGGGAGAGUAAAGUGGCGAACGGGUGAGUAACACUAGGGUAAUCUUCCCUUAAAUAAGGGAUAACGUUGCGAAAGCGACGCUAAUACCUUAUAAGACUACGAUCUCUUAGGAGAUAGUAGGAAAAGAUGGCCUCUGUUUCAAGCUAUCGUUUAAGGAUGAGCCCUAGCACUAUUAGCUAGUUGGUGAGGUAAUGGCUCACCAAGGCGACGAUGGUUAGCUGGUCUGAGAGGAUGACCAGCCACACUGGAACUGAGACACGGUCCAGACUCCUACGGGAGGCAG